rnacentral:rRNA from 1 species
GACGAACGCUGGCGGCGUGCUUAACACAUGCAAGUCGAACGGAAAGGCCCUGCUUUUGUGGGGUGCUCGAGUGGCGAACGGGUGAGUAACACGUGAGUAACCUGCCCUUGACUUUGGGAUAACUUCAGGAAACUGGGGCUAAUACCGGAUAGGAGCUCCUGCUGCAUGGUGGGGGUUGGAAAGUUUCGGCGGUUGGGGAUGGACUCGCGGCUUAUCAGCUUGUUGGUGGGGUAGUGGCUUACCAAGGCUUUGACGGGUAGCCGGCCUGAGAGGGUGACCGGCCACAUUGGGACUGAGAUACGGCCCAGACUCCUACGGGAGGCAGCAGGGGGGAAUAUUGCACAAUGGGCGGGAGCCUGAUGCAGAAACGCCGCGUGCGGGAUGACGGCCUUCGGGUUGUAAACCGCUUUCGCCUGUGACGAAGCGUGAGUGACGGUAAUGGGUAAAGAAGCACCGGCUAACUACGUG